GGGUGGUCUGGCUGUGACAUGUGUCACCCCACUGGUCUCCAGGAUUGAUUCCAUUGGUCUGUCUGUCUGGCAAAUGUUCCCUUCAUAACUCAGGUGCCCCCUUCCUAACUCCUGCUCAUGCGAAUCCUCCUCAAACUCUACACUGUGUUGUCAAAGAGGACACCCACACCUGAUAGAGAAGGACCAUUUACUCAGCCAAGGGUAUACAAGUAGCUGCACUUCCCUGCUAGAACUUCCAAAACAAGCUCUCAAAAUGCAUCUGUUGUACGUCAAUCAAAUCCUAUCCAUGAGAAUACAAAUAGCGAGUGUGUAAGCU
rnacentral:snRNA from 1 species